GAUGAACGCUGGCGGCGUGCCUAAUACAUGCAAGUCAAGCGAACGGACGAGAAGCUUGCUUCUCUGAUGUUAGCGGCGGACGGGUGAGUAACACGUGGAUAACCUACCUAUAAGACUGGGAUAACUUCGGGAAACCGGAGCUAAUACCGGAUAAUAUUUUGAACCGCAUGGUUCAAAAGUGAAAGACGGUCUUGCUGUCACUUAUAGAUGGAUCCGCGCUGCAUUAGCUAGUUGGUAAGGUAACGGCUUACCAAGGCAACGAUGCAUAGCCGACCUGAGAGGGUGAUCGGCCACACUGGAACUGAGACACGGUCCAGACUCCUACGGGAGGCAGCAGUAGGGAAUCUUCCGCAAUGGGCGAAAGCCUGACGGAGCAACGCCGCGUGAGUGAUGAAGGUCUUCGGAUCGUAAAACUCUGUUAUUAGGGAAGAACAUAUGUGUAAGUAACUGCGCACAUCUUGACGGUACCUAAUCAGAAAGCCACGGCUAACUACGUG
rnacentral:rRNA from 1 species